GGAGUUGGCUAGACAAUCGCUCGGGUGUUAACGGGGUAAUUCGCUUGCGUAUUAUCCGGUGCAUGCGGGAGGAAAGUCCGGGCUCCAUAGGGCAGAGCGCCAGGUAACGCCUGGGAGGUGUGAGCCUACGGAAAGUGCAGCAGAGAGCAGACCGCCUAAGCUUCAGGUGCUUCGGCAAACCGAAGCCGGUAAGGGUGAAAGGGUGCGGUAAGAGCGCACCGCGCAACUGGUAACAGUUUGCGGCAUGGUAAACCCCGCUCGGAGCAAGACCAAAUAGGAACCCAUUGGUGCGGCCCGCAUCGGGUUCGGGUAGGUUGCUUGAGGCAAGUGGUGACGCUUGUCCCAGAUGAAUGAUUGUCCACGACAGAACCCGGCUUACCGGCCAACUCCACUU
rnacentral:RNase_P_RNA from 1 species